UUUCCUCAAGAGGAGAGGUCUUGAUACAUCAAGUUCAGUACCAAGAGAUGGAUUCGAAGACGGAUGAUCUGGACUUGCUGAAAUCCUCGGGGGGCCGAUAAUUCAUAACCCACUGAGGUUGGCAUUUAAGAAACCUUGACAUGACAGCCAGCUAAAUGGACAAGAGCCCAGUCCGUGCACGGAUGACCACAGCUACAUCUUCACGCUGUCCUUUGUUUGCUGGCACUCUACUGAACCUGCAGAAGCCAUGUUUGUGAAUGUGACCACUGAAUAGAUAUGGGAGACUUUCAAGGGUAUUAAAUAAACGAUAUUGUUAUUGAUUUGA
rnacentral:lncRNA from 1 species